rnacentral:rRNA from 1 species
AGUGAACGUUGGCGGCGUGGAUUAGGCAUGCAAGUCGAGCGAGAACCGUAGCAAUACGGGGACAGCGGCGAAAGGGUCAGUAAUGUGUAGGUACCUACCUCCGGGUUCGGGAUAGCUGCGGGAAACUGCAGGUAAUACCGAAUAACGUCUCCGGACCAAAGGUGUGAUUCCACCUGGAGAGGGGCCUGCAUCCUAUUAGCUUGUUGGCGGGGUAACGGCCCACCAAGGCGACGAUGGGUAGCGGGUGUGAGAGCACGACCCGCGUCAUUGGGACUGAGACACUGCCCAGACACCUACGGGUGGCUGCAGUCGUGAAUCUUCGGCAAUGGGCGCAAGCCUGACCGAGCGACGCCGCGUGCGGGAUGAAGGCCUUCGGGUUGUAAACCGCUGUCGUAGAGGAGGAAAUGCGGGGGGGUUCUCCCCUCUGUUUGACCUAUUCUAGGAGGAAGUACGGGCUAAGUUCGUGCCAGCCGCCGCAGUAA